GUCGCUUUGGCCGAGUGGUUAAGGCGCUCGCCUGCUAAGUGAGUGGGAUUUUCCCGCGAGAGUUCGAAUCUCUCAGGCGACG
rnacentral:tRNA from 4 species